rnacentral:tRNA from 6 species
GGCAGGGUAGCUCAGCUGGUUAGAGCGCACGACUCAUAAUCGUGAGGUCGCGGGUUCAAGCCCCGCUCCUGCUAC